GAUGAACGCUGGCGGCGUGCUUAACACAUGCAAGUCGAACGGUGACGAGGAGCUUGCUCCUCUGAUCAGUGGCGAACGGGUGAGUAACACGUGAGCAACCUGCCCCAGACUCUGGGAUAACAGUUGGAAACAGCUGCUAAUACCGGAUACGAGACGGAGAGGCAUCUCUACCGUCUGGAAAGUUUUUCGGUCUGGGAUGGACUCGCGGCCUAUCAGCUAGUUGGUGAGGUAAUGGCUCACCAAGGCGACGACGGGUAGCCGGCCUGAGAGGGCGACCGGCCACACUGGGACUGAGACACGGCCCAGACUCCUACGGGAGGCAGCAGUGGGGAAUAUUGCACAAUGGGCGAAAGCCUGAUGCAGCGACGCCGCGUGAGGGAUGACGGCCUCGGUUGUAACCUCUUUCUAGCAGGGAAGAAGACGAAAGUAGACGGUACCUGCAGAAGAAGCACCGGCUAACUACGUGCCAGCAGCCGCGGUAACUACCG
rnacentral:rRNA from 1 species